CUGGAGUAAGCAAUGUAAUACACAGAAAUUAUUAUCCCAACAUAGUUCGUUAAACUCCUCCGUCCAAACUAAUUAAAAAGAAAAAUUAAUAAAUAAAUAAUUUAUCAAUUAUAUAAAAACUGUUAAAUUUUAAAACCAACAAUAUUCUUUCACUUUUAUAAUAAUUUAACUAUCACGUUUAAUUUGUAAAUAUGUACAUUUCUAAUGUGUAUCUAUAAUUAAUAAAAUAAUGUUAUUAGCAUGAUAUUAGUUACUUACUUGAAUAACUUAUCCAAAUUACACGAAGGUAUAAAACUAAUUUAUUGUACUAUAUAUGUCUUCCUCUAAAUUAACAUAACUAUAAUUCUUAUGUCCAGAUUAUACUGCAUGAAGAAUAUAAAAAAAAAUUAUAACUAUAGUCACAAUCUCUAUUAGAACAAAAGCCAUAAUGUAUUGUGCCUUUACUGAAGCAUGAGAUAGCCCACGAAAUAUAUUUAUAAUAAUUAUUAGUUUUCAUAUGGAUGCAAAAUACCUUCCUGCAGAAAGUAUUAGGAAUCUAACUUUUUAUAAUAUUAUUAAACAUACAACACCCUAACCAUCUAACUUUUAAAUUAUAACCAAAAUAAUCUUUAUUUAAAUACAAAAAGUUAGCAUACUAUGUAAUUCAAUGAUCUAAUUCAUACCUUUGUCUCAUCUGUUUUUGUUGACGUCGCUUCUCUCUUUCUCUUUCUCUCUGUUUGUAUAGAUAUAAUGAAGUAAUUAGGUUUAGCUAUUUCUUAAUUAGGUUGCCUCAAUAAACUUCUAAUUGGGUUAAAUUAAUAUUAAGUCCCAAAUUUUAACCACAUAAUAUUAUCGAUCACUUAGUAAUAUCUAUUAGCCCACACAAUUUAAAUGACUACUUUGACCUAAUUUAAAGCCAAAAAUUCAAACAAUAUAUUUAAAAUACAAACAUAAAUAAUUUUAUUUUUUUCGGGUAUUACAAUAUAAUUUUUGCAAAAGAAAAUUAGAUUGCUUCCGUGCAUCCACCACAGCCAAUGUGGUCCUAUCAAUUUCAUUAUCAUCUACCACAAGGGCAUCCUCAUUUAAAAUCCUUUUAAAGAUUCAAUGUAGUAAGAUAAAACAACAUGUUCUGUUGCCAUCUUUUAAAAUCAAUCCCACUGAAUUUUUCAGGUUUUUCACCAUGACUAACAUGGGUAGGAACAUUCAUAGGAACAUUGGUUGUAAUAGAGUUAGGCACAAUUGAAUUAGAUAAUUUUAUAAUUCUGUUAAAUACACAAUUUACAGAAUCACUUUAAUAAAAUAGAAACAAUCGAAUGAGAAAAACAAAAACUAAAUUUGUAAUUACAAUAAAGUAAAUCUGUUUUAAAUAUUAUUAAUGUUAUUUUUAUUUUAUUUUUAUAAAUCUGAAAAAAAAAAUUCUGUAAUGAAACUAAACAGAACUAUAAUAUUCUGUUUUAUAUAUAUUAAUAUAGAAUAAGAACUAAGAAAGUUCUGUUAAAAGAACUAUAAUAUUCUAUUUUAUAUAAUAAUAUAGUACAAGUACUACGGAAUUAAUAUAGAUAUAUUAAUAUAGAAUAAGUACUACGAUAGUUCUAUUUUAUAAAUUAGUAUAGACGGAGUACUCAGAAAUAACACAGAAAAUCUGCUUUAAGAUUGUUAUUCCUUUGUAUUAUAUACUAAUUAAAUAAACAGAAGUAGAAGAUAAACAAUUUUAUAAUAAUGACUUACUAGAUGCAAUUGACAAACUUUUAAAACAAAGUCAACUGUCGGGCAGUCUCUCCUUAAAGCAGAUUUCGUCCCCGCUAUCGGUGCUUACAGAUGGAAUAUUAGAUGUCUACUUCCCAGGAUAAAAUGAUCUUCAAUUCUCACAAGAAGUACUUCAAUGGAAGAGUUCCAUGAACUAACAAAAAUUUGAAUACUAUCUAUGACUUUUAAUGAAUGAAGAAUGAAUUUAGUUUUAAGAACUUGAGAAGGAUUGAAGUUAAAGUGAUUGAUUUGGGUAGAUUUGGAACCUAUUUAUAGGUUUCCAAACACCCCUAUGAAGAUAUACAUCCAUUUGAAAAGGUUACAUCCCUUUAAAAAGAUACAUCCCUUUAAAAAAGUAAAUCACUUUGAAAAGGUACAUCCUUUUGAAAAGGUUACAUCCCUUUAAAAAAAUACCUUUUCAAUUUAAAAAGAUAUGAACCAAAGGUCACACCCAGUGUUUUAUUUUUAAAAAAUAUUCUC
rnacentral:lncRNA from 1 species